GGACGCUUAGCUCAGCGGUAGAGCAUCUCCUUUACACGGAGAGGGUCGGGGGUUCGAAUCCCUCAGCGUUCA
rnacentral:tRNA from 1 species